AUGAUCCGACGAUGCUUUCCUGUAUCUUGUUAUCUCGGUUGAAGUCUCGUUGGAAAUUUUUGGGGGUGUUUCUGACGUAUUUGGUCAAUGAUGAUUCCUAUCUAAAUCAGAUGUUGAUCUGAGACUUUCAUCGCGACAUCUGGCUGUAUCUUCUUCACUCGAGCGUUUUGGGUUAUUGGGGGAUGUUUCUGACGUAUUUGGUCGAUGAUGAUUUCGAUCUAAAUCGGAUGUUGAUCUGAGACUUUCAGCGUGAUAUCUGGCUAUAUCUUCUUCACUCGAAUGUUUUGGAUUAUUUUUCCGACGUUCUCGAGUCGAUUCCGGUGAGGCUUCAGAUAUUUGGGUUUCUGUUGUUCGAAACUGCCAUUUUUCUGUUAAUCGAAGGCCGAUCUUCUCCGGUCGCGAAGAAGGAGGGUAAAUCUGUUCC
rnacentral:lncRNA from 1 species